UCUCCGUAGGUGAACCUGCGGAGGGAUCAUUACAGAGUUCAUGCCCUACCGGGUAGAUCUCCCACCCUAUGUUAUCAUUACUUUGUUGCUUUGGCGGGCCGUUAGGCUCCGGCCCGACUACCGGCCCCGGCUGGUAAGCGCCCGCCAGAGGACCCAAAACCCUGAAUAUUAGUGUCGUCUGAGUACUAUAUAAUAGUUAAAACUUUCAACAACGGAUCUCUUGGUUCUGGCAUCGAUGAAGACGCAGC
rnacentral:misc_RNA from 1 species